rnacentral:rRNA from 1 species
CCUACGGGAGGCAGCAGUGAGGAAUAUUGGUCAAUGGACGCAAGUCUGAACCAGCCAUGCCGCGUGCAGGAAGACGGCCCUAUGAGUUGUAAACUGCUUUUGUACGAGGGUAAACGCAGAUACGCGUAUCUGUCUGAAAGUCUCGUACGAAUAAGGAUCGGCUAACUCCGUGCCAGCAGCCGCGGUAAUACGGAGGAUUAGAGAGUUAUCCGGAUUUAUUGGGUUUAAAGGGUGCGUAGGCGGUCUGCUAAGUUAGAGGUGAAAUCCCGGGGCUCAACUUCGGAAUUGCCUUUGAUACUGGUCGGCUAGAGAGUAGUUGCGGUAGGCGGAAUGUAUGGUGUAGCGGUGAAAUGCUUAGAGAUCGUACAGAACACCGAUGGCGAAGGCAGCUUACCAAGCUACUUCUGACGUUGAGGCACGAAAGCGUGGGGAGCAAACAGGAUUAGAUACCCGGGUAGUC